rnacentral:rRNA from 1 species
GUUUCAGCCGCCGCGGUAAUACGGAGGGUGCAAGCGUUAUCCGGAUUUAUUGGGUUUAAAGGGUCCGUAGGCGGACUAUUAAGUCAGUGGUGAAAGCCCAUAGCUCAACUAUGGAAUUGCCAUUGAUACUGAUAGUCUUGAGUACAAGUGAGGUUGGCGGAAUGUGUGGUGUAGCGGUGAAAUGCUUAGAUAUCACACAGAACACCGAUUGCGAAGGCAGCUGGCCAACUUGUAACUGACGCUGAGGGACGAAAGUGUGGGGAUCAAACAGGAUUAGAAACCCCUGUAGUCC